AAUAAAUCAAAAUGAUUAACGUUUAUCUUUUUAAUUCUUUGAAAAUUUCUCUCAAUUUGAACGGUGAUUAAAUUAAUUAGAGAAGGUGAUUUAUGGAUUAUUUGACUAUAACCAUCAGUUAAUUACUUUUUAAAUGGUUAAAAAAUGAUUAGAAAGGUUGGUUAACUGUUUCGCUUUUCAAGUGUAACUGUUUUUCAUUUUCCUUUUCUCUUUGCUAAUUUUUUUAUUCUUCAUCUUUUUUUUCUCUCGUUUAAUUUUAUCUUCAUCAUCUUCUUGUGAUUUCUUGUUCUUUUUUCAUCAUCAUCAUCAUUUUGUUGCCCUUGUGUUCCAUUUGGUUUGUGUUAUUUACCUUGAACAAAUUUUCCAGGAUCAAUUCUCAUGGAUGAAUGUCAAGAAUAAGAAAAUAUAAAAGAUUAUGCUGAUCAAUACCUUCUAUUUGCUUAUCUUUCUCUUACCAGUAUCAUUAUCGUCAUCGACAUCAUCAUUUUCAGCAUCAUCAAUAUUGUCAUGAUACUGUGACUUUAAGAUUGAAACUGAUUUAUAAUUGGUGACAGUUUUUCAAUAUUUUGGCUUUACAAUUGGUGUUUAUAGAAGUCAAUACAUACAAAGCUACAAGUGUCUUUUUAGUCAAUAGCUAAUAGACUUUUCUAAUCUACUAAUUUGUGUAUUAUUAUUGCCUCAUCAAUUCAAAUUAACCCGUUAAAGUUGAGAUGAAAAAUCUACUGAGAGAGGGCGAAAAAAUAAACUCUCUUGAGCCAGGAUCAAUUAACAGAGAAAAGGAUGAGGCAACUGUCUGGAUCAAUCAUCUAUGAGAUUUAUAUCAUCACCAUCAUCUCUUUCAAUCACAGAGAAAGAAAAAUGGAGAAGCAAAUCUUUAAACGUUUUCUCCUGACGUCUGGUUACAUUGGAUUCGCUCUCUCAUUUUUUUUUCUGCCUUUUUGCGCUCAAACUGCGUAUUCUCAUCUUUAUCUUCAUCACUAUUAUAAUAAUAAUUAACCAUCUAUUAUUAUUUCCAGUGUUCGGUGUGUUUACAGUUCAUGGAAAGGAGAAGAAAAAAGCUUUGUUUACAUUACCCAAUGGCUAUGGAUCAACUAUGGGAAAAGAAACAUGAAAGAGAAACUGUUGUUUUAUUUUUGGGUUUUAAACUUUUUCAGGAAGAACUUUUCUAUUUUCUUCUUGAAAAGUUAUAAAUGGAUCGACUCAAUGUUUUCCCUCAUCAUAUAUCAACAAGAUGAAGCGACAAUAUCCUCACCCCCAACUUUCCAUCAAGAAGUGACAACAACAACAAUACAAAGAGAGGGAAAAUAAGGGAGAUAAUGUUUACUCAUUUAUUAGAGAAACAAAAACAUCACAUGAUCCGCAUCUUCAUCCGCACCAUCAUUAGAACAAUUAUAAUGGUAUUAUUCAUCAUAAUCAUUAUGGGAAUCACUUUUAACUCUGCAUCUUAAUAAUAGCAACAAGAAUGAUGUUUUUUACUUUGUCUAUUACGUUGAUGACAAUAAACUCUACGAGCUGAUUGAACAUGGUGAUGACACAAUAAAUGAUAAUCAACAAGUGAAAGUGCCAAAAAGAAAGAAACAAAAAGAGAUAAUCGAAUUGUGAAAUAUGAUAUAUAUCAACCUGAUCAGUUCUAUAAAAUUUGAAUAUUUUUCUCUUAUUUUGAUGCUUCGAGUAGGCUGAUUAUCGAGAAAAAUUCAAUUACAUAGAAACAUAUUAACUCGGUGAUUUACUGAGUUAAUUCAAACUCUUUUUCUUUACAUUUUCACAAUUUUCUAAAAUUAAUCUAUGGCUGAUUUUCUGUUUUUGUUUAAUUUCUAAACUUUUUCUUGAUUCCAAUCCAAACCUCGAUUUCCAUGAUAGUUUAGAACUAAUUUCUUCCUAUUUUCCGCCUACAUUGAGUUAAACAAUAACGAACUAACAAUCAACUUGCUUUAUACUUUUUCCAUUGUAAACCUUGGCCUAAUCUCUAUCCAGUCACUAUUUCGAUAAUCUAAACACUCGAAAAGAUUAACUAAUAUUUGAAUCAUUGAUCAUGAAAAUUAACCAGCAAUCACAAUUAGUUGAGGUUCUAAUGAUAAUUGAUAUUGUUUAUCGAUGAAAAAAUCUAAAAAUACACCGAUACAAAUUACGAACUAAAAAGUUGCAUCUAAUUAUUAGAUUCUAAUAAUACUAAUAUUAACAGAUGCACAACAAGAAUGACGAUAACUAAUUAUGAAGUAAUCAGAAUGAAUAAUGAAACAAUUAACAAUCAACAGACAAUUUAAAAGGUGAUCCCUUCAAUCAAUCAAAAAGUAAAACGAAUACAAAAAAAAUCCAGAACAACAGAAACAGUUUAAAGAAAAUUAAUUGUCUCGAAUUGUUGAUUAAAUCACAAUUACAAUUUCACUGAUAUUCUCCUAAUUAAGUUAAUCAAUUAGAGAUCAAUCAAUUGUAACAAUUAAACUUGAAACUGACCAAAGAAAAUCAAUUGAUAAUCAAUAUUAUUUA